rnacentral:rRNA from 1 species
GAUGAACGCUAGCGGGAGGCCUAACACAUGCAAGCCGAGCGGGAUUUGAGACUAGCUUGCUAGUCUUAAUGAGAGCGGCGUACGGGUGCGGAACACGUGUGCAACCUGCCUUUAUCUGGGAGAUAGCCUUUCGAAAGGAAGAUUAAUAUCCCAUAAUAUAAUGAUUGGCAUCAAUUAUUAUUGAAAGCUCCGGCGGAUAGAGAUGGGCACGCGCAAGAUUAGAUAGUUGGUGAGGUAACGGCUCACCAAGUCGAUGAUCUUUAGGGGGCCUGAGAGGGUGAUCCCCCACACUGGUACUGAGACACGGACCAGACACCUACGGGAGGCAGCAGUGAGGAAUAUUGGACAAUGGGUGAAAGCCUGAUCCAGCCAUCCCGCGUGAAGGAUUAAGGACCUAUGGUUUGUAAACUUCUUUUCUACAGGGAUAAACCUACUCUCGUGAGAGUAGCUGAAGGUACUGUAGGAAUAAGCACCGGCUAACUCCGUGCCAGCCGCCGCGGUAACAC